GAGUUUGAUCUUGGCUCAGAUUGAACGCUGGCGGCAGGCCUAACACAUGCAAGUCGAGCGGAUGACGGGAGCUUGCUCCUUGAUUCAGCGGCGGACGGGUGAGUAAUGCCUAGGAAUCUGCCUGGUAGUGGGGGGACAACGUUUCGAAAGGAACGCUAAUACCGCAUACGUCCUACGGGAGAAAGCAGGGGACCUUCGGGCCUUGCGCUAUCGGAUGAGCCUAGGUCGGAUUAGCUAGUUGGUGGGGUAAUGGCUCACCAAGGCGACGAUCCGUAACUGGUCUGAGAGGAUGAUCAGUCACACUGGAACUGAGACACGGUCCAGACUCCUACGGGAGGCAGCAGUGGGGAAUAUUGGACAAUGGGCGAAAGCCUGAUCCAGCCAUGCCGCGUGUGUGAAGAAGGUCUUCGGAUUGUAAAGCACUUUAAGUUGGGAGGAAGGCAGUAAGUUAAUACCUUGCUGUUUUGACGUUACCGACAGAAUAAGCACCGGCUAACUCUGUGACAGCCGCCGCC
rnacentral:rRNA from 1 species